CGGGUUCUGCCCGGUACGAGCUCUUGCGAACAUCCCUGAGGCGAUAAGACAUCCUCGGGGGCUGUCCCUGCCCGGACCCUGGUCCGACGCAAAUGGUCCCCACCUGACGUUGAGGCGUCAGAGGAUAUUCCGGCAAACGGCCAUGGCGGUCCCGUC
rnacentral:misc_RNA from 1 species